ACCGCGGUAGCCCAGUUGGUUGGGCGUCGGCAGUACUGAUGCCAGGUCGCAGGUUCAAAUCCUGCCUGUGAGA